UACGAAGGGGGCUAGCGUUGUUCGGAUUUACUGGGCGUAAAGCGCACGUAGGCGGAUCGUUAAGUCGGAUGUGAAAUCUCCAGGCUCAACCUGGAGGGGUCAUUCGAUACUGCCGUGACUAGAGUUCGGUAGGGGAGUGUGGAAUUCCUGGUGGAGCGGUGAAAUGCGCAGAUAUCAGGAGGAACACCCGUAGCGAAGGCGGCACUCUGGGCCGAUACUGACACUGAGGAGCGAAAGCGUGGGGAGCGAACAGG
rnacentral:rRNA from 1 species